UGAUAAGAAAAGGACUUAAACCUUUAUUCUAGGGGCUACAACCCUGCACCUAAUCGGCCAUCUACC
rnacentral:tRNA from 1 species